AGUGAGAGUGAGUGCAAUUAAUUCUAUUUGAACAAAAAACUGGGGUGCAGGAUAUUACACAGGUAUACACAUUUAUAGCUUAGGACAAAAGUAGUUGAAUCAAUAAGUUCCUCAGAGAUGAAGUGUACUUGAAUCUCAUAAGGUAUAUCAUCAUUUAUCACGUAUUAGCUUCCUUGGACCAUUUGGUGACCGAAUAGCUCCUUUAAAACAUUAUAGAAAUUGUUGUCUUCUGAACAACCAACUUUAGUGUUGAAAGAGAUCUAUAGGGAGUUAAUUGCCCACUUCAUAAAUGCAAAUAAAUUCCACAUGAUAUAAAUGUGUGUGUGUGAUGAUCGAGUCUUUAGUUGAAUAGUUCAGUGGCCACAAUAGAACCUUCUCUCCAGUUAAGCAAUCCUUACUUCAAUUACUUCCCUUUCCCCAUUUAAAAAUUAUCAAACCUUAUCGUGGCCAAAUGUAUGUGUAAGUAUAUACAACCGUCAAGUAAUAAAGUGAUAAUUAGAUUAUUAUUUUCACGAGUGUUUGCUAUAAAUUAUUAAUUAAAUUAAACUAUCCUAUUUUUCUAAGCAAGAUUAAACCCAAAGUGUUUGUUUCUAAACUAAACUAAAAUAGAAUAAAAAUAACUAAUUAAUGAACUCUAAACAAAAGAUGACCAGAUCCUUAUGUUAAAAAUGUAAUGAAAACGAUAUAGGGUUAUGAGCUGCCUAACAAUCUCAUUGUAUUCUUCAACCGAUUCAACUUCUUAACUUAUCUUGUUCUAUUUGAUCGGAACGUACAUAUGAAUAGCAUACUCCCGCAAUACCACCCACCUAAUCAAGAUAUAGCAAUCAUAUAUUCCUAUGAUAUUAAAUCUAUUAAGAACGAGUAAAACACGACAUUCAACUAAGCGAGACAACUAGGUAUAUCUCUAUCCUAACCGUGAAAUCUUUUUCCGAGCCACGGGUUUAGAAACAAGUUCUACUCAAUCCUAUUUGCAAUCUAGAAUGUUCUAGUCAGUCCUAUUUGCAAUCUAGAAUUUUUUCUCCAGAGUUCAACUCUAGAUUUGUCGAUUGUAUUUAAUUGGUGAUCAAGCAAUCAAUUAAUUAAGUGCAUGAAUAAAUAAAUAUACCUAUAUGGUAACUUAAGAAAUCAAAAUCAGAAAGUGAAGAUCCAACCAGUCGUUUUGUGUAAUUGUAUCUUGUUUUCAUUUUUUAUACUUCAAACAUGCGUGUUUAUGAUUUUAUUACUUACGGAGUUGAUUAGUUUCGUUUAGGGAAGAAGCUUAAGUUAGAAAUAUUGACCAAAUGUUGACUUUUGUAAAAAUAACCCCGGAAUAAUAUUUUGAUGGCUCUGAUAGCUUCAUAUGAUUUUGAACCUACGCGUAUGCCCGGAAUUAAAUUUGGAAGGUUGUUGGUGCUAUGUGUUGGAAGAUUCUCAUAUGACAAGUUGUACUCAAAUACUAUUGUUGGUGUUGAAUUUGCUUCCCACCUUGCUUGGUAAUGUGUUGUAUGUGAUUGCUUGGUGAGGAAAAGUGAAUAGCACGAAGGGUGUUACCGUGAGGAAGAGUGAUUGGGCACGAGGGGUGUUUUCCAGCCUUAUUUAUAUAUUGAUAUUAUUGCUUGAGUGAACGUGAGGAUAUGCACGAAAGGUAUUUCCGUUCUUGUUAUUAUUUUAUAUGUGAGGAUGAGAGUAAAAGCAUGAAGGGUGACGAUGUUGUGCAAUUAUUUUUACAUUAUAUGUGAGGAUGAGAUUAAAAGCACAAAGGGCGAUGUCAUACAGUUUUAUUGAUUUCAUUGCUCUUUACUUUGAUAUUUAGAAUGUGGACUUGGCUUUAUGGUUUCACUAUUUACUUUGGAAAGAGGCUUACCUAGUGACACUUUUCUUUUCUAGUUAUGCCCCUCUACUGGCGUACUUGUUAUCCCUUCUACUUGUCUUAAUCCUAUGGUUAUAUUUGAUUCUUUACCUGCUAUUUUGUUAUUUCUUGAUAUAAUAUCCCUGUAAAAGUUAUUAUAGGUGUUUUGUCUUUGUUUCGUCAUACCUCAUUGGGGUUCGAUUCGACACUUACUGUAUACAUGAGAUCGACUGUACAUAUACUAUACUUCUGCACUUUUUAUUUAGAUUUAAAUACGGUAUUUAGCAGAUACCGGGCUGGUAAUCUGAGGUAGAGAUGCAUUCCAUUCGGGCCUUGAAUAAUCGUAUUUCUGUUGUACUAUUUUUAUUUUUUUUGAUAGUGAUGUAUUUAUUUCAAAAUAGAAUAUGUGUUAAACUUUAUAAGCUCAUGUACUUCUG
rnacentral:lncRNA from 1 species